rnacentral:rRNA from 1 species
GACGAACGCUGGCGGCGUGCCUAAUACAUGCAAGUCGAGCGGAAUGAUGAAGAAGCUUGCUUCUUCUGAUUUUAGCGGCGGACGGGUGAGUAACACGUGGGCAACCUACCUUGUAGAUUGGGAUAACUCCGGGAAACCGGGGCUAAUACCGAAUAAUCCAUUUUGCUUCAUGGCGAGAUGUUAAAAGGCGGCUUCGGCUGUCACUACGUGAUGGGCCCGCGGCGCAUUAGCUAGUUGGUAGGGUAAUGGCCUACCAAGGCGACGAUGCGUAGCCGACCUGAGAGGGUGAUCGGCCACACUGGGACUGAGACACGGCCCAGACUCCUACGGGAGGCAGCAGUAGGGAAUCUUCCACAAUGGACGAAAGUCUGAUGGAGCAACGCCGCGUGAGUGAAGAAGGUUUUCGGAUCGUAAAACUCUGUUGUAAGGGAAGAACACGUACGAGAGUAACUGCUCGUACCUUGACGGUACCUUAUUAGAAAGCCACGGCUAACUACGUG